GGAUUGUGGCUCAGUGGCAGAGCCCUUGCCUUGCAAGUAUGAGGCACUGGGUUUGAUCCUCAGCACCA
rnacentral:tRNA from 1 species